rnacentral:rRNA from 1 species
AUUGAACGCUGGCGGCAUGCUUUACACAUGCAAGUCGAACGGUAACAGGCCGCAAGGUGCUGACGAGUGGCGAACGGGUGAGUAAUGCAUCGGAACGUGCCCAGUCGUGGGGGAUAACGCAGCGAAAGCUGCGCUAAUACCGCAUACGAUCUAUGGAUGAAAGCGGGGGACCGUAAGGCCUCGCGCGAUUGGCGCGGCCGAUGUCAGAUUAGGUAGUUGGUGGGGUAAAGGCUCACCAAGCCAACGAUCUGUAGCUGGUAUGAGAGGACGACCAGCGGACCUGGAGCGUGGACACGGCCCAGACUCCUACGGGAGGCAGCAGGGGGGAAUGUUGGACAAUGGGCGCAAGCCUGAUCCAGCAAUGCCGCGUGCAGGAAGACGGCCUUCGGGUUGUAAACUGCUUUUGUACGGAACGAAACGGUCCUGGUUAAUACCUGGGGCUAAUGACGGUACCGUAAGAAUAAGCACCGGCUAACUACGUGCCAGCCGCCGCCGUAA